UUCAGAAUGCCAUUAUCCAGUCUUUCAAUCUCUUCCGGGGUUUCAAUCCCACUCUCUAUGCUCUCAAAUUCACGAGACCAUAGUUGCAGAAACUUUCAGCUCCAAAAAGAUUCAAUUCCUAUUCACAGAAAUCAAAGAAUGGCUUCAGGAAAUCGAGGGUUUGUGAUUAGUUGCUCUGCUGGUGCUGGGGACAAAGCUGCUUCUGUUGGCUUUGAUGUUCCCUUCCCUAAUGACUACUAUGAACUGCUUAAACAAGCUAAAGAAGCUACUGAGUUGGCUAUGAAGGACAACAGGCAGCUGAUGGAAAUUGAAUUUCCGACUGCUGGGUUGGAAUCUGUGCCAGGUGAUGGUGAAGGUGGGAUAGAAAUGACUGGGAGUAUGACUCUAAUCCGUGAAUUUUGUGACCUCUUCGUCAUUCCUGAGAAGGCCACAAGAACCAGAAUAUUUUUUCCGGAGGCAAAUGAAGUGAUAUUUGCAAGACAAUCAGCUUUCGAAGGAGCUUCGUUCAAGUUGGAUUAUCUGACAAAGCCGUCACUAUUUGAGGAUUUUGGUUUCACAACCAAAGUUAAGAUGACUGACCGUGUAAAGCCAGAAGAUGAACUGUUUUUGGUUGCCUAUCCAUAUUUUAACGUUAAUGAAAUGCUUGUGGUUGAAGAGCUUUACAAAGAAGCUGUUGUGAACACUUCCCGGAAACUGAUUGUGUUCAAUGGAGAGCUCGAUCGAAUAAGAUCUGGAUAUUAUCCCAAAUUCUUCUACCCAAAGCUGGCCACGCUUUCCACUACUCUGCUGCCUCAGAUGGAGACCGUAUAUUACAUUCACAACUUUAAAGGACGAAAUGGAGGUGUCCUGUUCAGGUGCUAUCCUGGCCCGUGGAAAGUUCUGAGGAAAACGAGGAAUUCCUACGUCUGUUUGCAUCAGCAAGAAUCAAUGCCUUCCCUCAAGGAGGUUGCGCUCGACAUCCUUCCAUCAACUUGAUUUCAACAACCCGCGCUGCUAUUCUCUUUUUUCUCCUGCUGCUUUCCUCACAACCAGGGCGCCUUGCAACAUUAUCCAUUCGUUUUGUAUCUUUGAACCAAUCCACUGCCACAAGAUCCAUCAUAUGUUUACCACCGGGAGCCUAGUAAGAAAUGUUGAGGGGUGAUGUUCGAGCAAAUAAGAAAAAUGUUUUCUUUAAAAAGCAUGAAUAUAUGCCAAGAAAACAGGAGAUGAAUUAAGGACCUUUGAUUUGUCUUGGCAAAAAUUCUUGCUACGAACUUUAAAGUUGUCUCCCUCAGAUAUUUUCCAGGAGUUACGAGCAUCAUCUCGGUCAUCAUGUUGAAGAUUGCCAGAGAAAAUGGAGAAAUCGAUUUGGUCUGUGGUUUCCUCUUCAGCGGCUUCAAAACAGUAAGAGUGUAAAUAUGUAUUUUCCUGAUGAUAAAUAUACAUAUAAGAAAAUGAUUUGUAGUAAACUGUCAGCAUACCAGUUUUCUUCACUUCAUUUUCAAGGAGGGGUUUCUGUUCCUGUAAAUAUUCAUGGAAGCAUGGUUAAAGCGAGAUAUGAAUGAAGAAAUUAUGAUAAACAGCAGUGCAAUAUAAACCUCUUGAUCUGCCACUUGGAAGUCUUCAUCCUCAUCAGAGUCUUCAUCCAACAUUGCUGCAUUUUUAUUUGCAGCGCUCAUUUGAUCUAGAGAAGGACUGCGGUGAUGAGGAUCAGAAUCCUCGUUGAGCUUCUGAUUCCUCUUAGACGAAACAGAUGCCAUAUCAACCAUAGCCGGGAUUCCCGGGGCUGCAGUCCUUUCAUCAGUUUGUGAAAAGUAUUCACGAAGUCCUGCAGGAAAGCACCAGUGGAGAUUACAUACGAAAAUUAUUACCAUUCAGAUUCAGACUCGAGAAAUUUCAUGCCAGGAAGAAGAGAUCAGAGGAGUAAUCAUGGAGGAAGACCACACCGGAAAAGCCAUCAACACGAUACUAGAGUUUUAAGGUCCGCGUGGUGCACACCAUGUUGUUAGGAGUCUCACAUUGAAAAUAAGAGAGAAACAUAUGGGUUUAUAAGGUCAUGAGUUAGACUAGCUAAUUGACUGGUCCAGUUGAGUGGGCCCCAUUUUUAGAUUCUAACAUGGUAUCAGAGCUUGUUCAUCCCUCUUCUGUUUUAGAGGGAGAGUCCAACCCCGAGCUUGAGUUCACCCGGUUGUCCGUGGUUGGAUUUAGUCUUUUAGUACGAUUGAUUGCAGAUUUGUAGGAUAGUUCCUGAAGACAAGCUAAGUAUGCUUGGCAUAUGAUCUCACCUGCAACACUGUUUAACAUUUGAAACAGGCAGUGCUGUUUAAAUGAUGAGAGAUGACCCACUACCCACCCUUUCAGAUCAAUCUGCAUCAGAUACUGAACCUUUGUUCUGGGAAUCCCAUGGCGCGAUCUCUGGGGGGAAAUGGUGAAUCCACCACCUGCAGAAACCAGAAAACAUGAGAGCAUUUUACAGCCAUGAUCAGACUUAAAGUUGAAACCUCGAAACUAUUCUAGACAAGGCAAAGCAACAAAGGGUUUACUCUCGAUAUGUGCUCGCACAUAUCCUGGUUGUCGACCACAGCUUGCAUGCUCCCUGGAACGAAAUAAUACCACUACACAACAACAAUGGCAUAAUCCAUCAAGAGAAGAGAACUGUAAUGUGGGGGGAUUGAAGAAACGGAAUGUCAUGGAAAUGGAGGCAUUUACCGUAGGUACCAUCAUCGUUUCGACGCCAGUAACGCACAUAACAGAGGUCACGGGGCCACACGAACCUGCCAUAGCCAGAAAGCACGAUUUUACUUGAGUAUGAAAAGGAGAAAGCAAGAAGAGAAAGAAACCGGGAAAACGUGUGUUACAUGGGGAACCAGUCAAGUUGAAGUCUGUGAUAGAGUAUUGCCGUAUGCCCAUCCACCUCCUCAACUAAACUACCAUAUUGGAAAGUGCAAUCCCACCUGAACACAGAAGAUUGACAGAAGGGGACAAAAGAAGUCCAUGAGUUCAAAUUUGCUAGAUCGACCCAACAGUUUAGGACAGUUGAUAAGUGUAUGCUAAUGCAACUGUAAGGUCGAAUGAUCGACUCUUAUAAGGGUUUGCCAUGCUAAAAAACUCUGGGCCAGGCCUUCACCGAGUAAGAGUCAAACUCUGGGUCACGGCCUCGAUAGAAGCCAAAUCCAUAUUAGUCUCGGUGAGGGUAUUAGCGAAAAGAGGAAAAAAAUAAAAAAAAAAGCUCGAUUGAGCCAUUGAACCGACCACU